rnacentral:lncRNA from 1 species
AUUUUUACUUCUAUUUGUCUCUAGAUAAACUGCAUGUUAGAUGACUCAUAGAUCUUUAUCACUUUAUAAAGUUUAGACUAUAAAAAGCCUACCCCUCUUUUCUGACUGGUAAACAACUGUGUAAGCUUUGCUGCUGUUACUUGAAAUCUCAGCUAGCCACAGUGCUGCUGAGAGCAUUUGUUGGUUAUUCAAGUGGGCCACGUAGCCUUUGUAGAGCCAAGAAGGAGUAAGGCCCCUUGUGUGGCUGCUGGGAAGCAUAACUGCCUAUUUUCAUCUGGAAUGGUCAAGGCAGUGGUCAGCUUUGCUGUGGGCUCUUCUGUUCCCAUGAGCUGCUCAGGACUUGUGGUGUGGCCCGAUGUUUAG